UGGGAAGGCAUAGACAGCUAGGAGGUUGGCUUAGAAGCAGCCACCCUUUAAAGAAAGCGUAAUAGCUCACUAGUCGAGUCGGCCUGCGCGGAAGAUGUAACGGGGCUAAAACUAUGUGCCGAAGCUGCGGAUGUAUACUUUGUAUACGUGGUAGGGGAGCGUUCUGUAAGCCGAUGAAGGUGUGUUGAGAAGCAUGCUGGAGGUAUCAGAAGUGCGAAUGCUGACGUGAGUAACGACAAAACGGGUGAAAAACCCGUUCGCCGAAAGACCAAGGGUUCCAGUCCAACGUUAAUCGGGGCUGGGUGAGUCGACCCCUAAGGCGAGGCCGAAAGGCGUAGUCGAUGGGAAAAUGGUUAAUAUUCCAUUACUUCUGUGUAAUGCGAUGAGAGGACGGAGAAGGCUAAAUCAGCCUGGCGUUGGUUGUCCAGGUGAAAGGAUGUAGGCAUGUAUCUUAGGCAAAUCCGGGGUACUCUAUGCUGAGAUCUGAUAGCAAGCUGUACUUGUACAGCGAAGUGGUUGAUGCCAUGCUUCCAGGAAAAGUCUCUAAGCUUCAGUUACACAGGAAUCGUACCCGAAACCGACACAGGUGGUCAGGUCGAGUAGACCAAGGCGCUUGAGAGAACUCUGCUGAAGGAACUAGGCAAAAUGGUACCGUAACUUCGGGAGAAGGUACGCUGUUGUUGGUGAUGGAACUUGCUUCCUGAGCUGACGACAGCCGCAGAAACCAGGCCGCUGCAACUGUUUAUUAAAAACAUAGCACUCUGCAAACACGAAAGUGGACGUAUAGGGUGUGAUGCCUGCCCGGUGCUGGAAGGUUAAUUGAUGGGGUUAGCGUAAGCGAAGCUCUUGAUCGAAGCCCCAGUAAACGGCGGCCGUAACUAUAACGGUCCUAAGGUAGCGAAAUUCCUUGUCGGGUAAGUUCCGACCUGCACGAAUGGCAUAAUGAUGGCGGCGCUGUCUCCAGCAGAGGCUCAGUGAAAUCGAAAUCGCUGUGAAGAUGCAGUGUACCCGCGGCUAGACGGAAAGACCCCGUGAACCUUUACUGCAGCUUGACACUGAACUUUGACCUUACUUGUGUAGGAUAGGUGGGAGGCUUUGAAGCUGGAACGCUAGUUCCAGUGGAGCCGUCCUUGAAAUACCACCCUGGUAAUGUUGAGGUUCUAACUCUGUCCCGUGAUCCGGGACGAGGACCGUGUCUGGUGGGUAGUUUGACUGGGGCGGUCUCCUCCUAAAGAGUAACGGAGGAGUACGAAGGUGCGCUCAGCGUGGUCGGAAAUCACGCGUAGAGUAUAAAGGCAAAAGCGCGCUUAACUGCGAGACCCACAAGUCGAGCAGGUACGAAAGUAGGUCUUAGUGAUCCGGUGGUUCUGUAUGGAAGGGCCAUCGCUCAACGGAUAAAAGGUACUCUGGGGAUAACAGGCUGAUACCGCCCAAGAGUUCAUAUCGACGGCGGUGUUUGGCACCUCGAUGUCGGCUCAUCUCAUCCUGGGGCUGAAGCAGGUCCCAAGGGUAUGGCUGUUCGCCAUUUAAAGAGGUACGCGAGCUGGGUUUAGAACGUCGUGAGACAGUUCGGUCCCUAUCUACCGUGGGCGCUGGAAAUUUGAGAGGAUCUGCUCCUAGUACGAGAGGACCAGAGUGGACGAACCUCUGGUGUACCGGUUGUGACGCCAGUCGCAUCGCCGGGUAGCUAUGUUCGGAAGGGAUAACCGCUGAAAGCAUCUAAGCGGGAAGCCUACCUCAAGAUAAGAUUUCCCUAGGACUUUAUGUCCUCUAAAGAGCCGUUCGAGACUAGGACGUUGAUAGGUUGGAUGUGGAAGCAUAGUGAUAUGUGAAGCUGACCAAUACUAAUUGCUCGUGAGGCUUGACUAU
rnacentral:rRNA from 1 species